GGGGAUGUAGCUCAGCCUGGGAGAGCGCCGGAAUCGCACUCCGGAGGUCGGGGGUUCGAAUCCCCUCAUCUCCACCA
rnacentral:tRNA from 1 species